ACAAACCACGAAGCAGAGCGGGCCGGGGGAUGCGAGCUUGGGAGCGGCGAGCGGAUGCCGCAGGAGGCAGCGGGAUGGGGCAGGUGAGACCGGGCCGCGGCGGGCCCCGAGGGACCGGGGCGAGAGGGGACCCGCGAUCGUCCUGUCCCCGCACAGAGCGAGCGGGGACUCAGAAGGGCCUAAGGCCGAGGAGCCGUCCCGGCGAGGGGCAGCAGAGUCAGGCUCAGCCGAGGGCUCCCGGGAGCGCCGCUCCUGUCGCUGACCCGCUCCGCUCGGUUCCCCGCCGGUUCCGCGCUCGCAGCCGCCUCUGAGCCGCGGGCCCGGCCCGAGCCCCAGCCCCGCACGCCGCGGGCACCGCGUCCGCCCCUCGCUUGGACCGCUCUGUCCCGCCGCCGGCUCCCACCUGCGGGACCGGGGCGGCUGCCGGGGGCCGGGCUCCACGGCAAGGUGAAUUUCGGUGUGACUGCAGGGGCUCGGCUUGGUCUGGUUACACUCAGUCCGCGGGCCGGGGAAAACCCGAGUGGGAUCUGUUCUGCGGGAUGCUCCAGCGCUCUUCCAGCCUCCGCGCUUUUCCGUGGCUCCUCUUCCCCCAAAGAAAACCUGCUCUUUCCCCCCCAAGAAAAGCUGCCAUCCACGACGGAGACGAGGGAGAAGCGAAGCCCGAGCCCGCACCCGACGGAACCGGGCGGCCCCGACGGCGGCGGCUCAGAGCCCCGUGCGAGGCCGGGGAAAGCCAGAACCGAGCCUCGGCCGCGUGGGUUGGCAUAGAUUUACUGACUUGAGAGGAAACUCACCGGUUUACACUGCUGAGAAGGGUUUGAAUGGAUGAGUACUGAGAAAAAAUUGCCGAAUUUGGCCAGUAACAAGGCUGGAAGAGUGGAAGGCUAAUACUGAGUUAUGCAUGGACUCGGGAAGAAUUACACAGCAUCAGAGUCUUGCUUCUAAACAGCGACAGCGCCAAAUUUCUAAUAACUGUGUAAUAUGCUUAUUUAUACCAUACAAGGACUUACAAACCUCAUUGUGCAUAGCAGCUGGGUCAUAUUUCUUUACCCUUCCAUUCCUCAGGCUCUUUUGCCAAGAGACUGGUACCAAACACUUCUAGGCUAAAAGGAAAACACAAAAUUUAAUCGCAAAGAAACGGUGACAAGGAAGCGUGGGUAAGAUACGGGCUGACGUGCAGCCCUUUAAUCUUAAGCAUCUGCCUAAAAUAGGUGCGCUAAGGGGGUAUUGGAAAUAUGCACGGUUUGAAAUGCAAGUGAUUCUCUGCUUCUAAAUCGUUCAGCCCAAUUAUCCACAUGUAUUUCCCUGACCUGGGCACGUUUGUAGGCUCUAAGGCUUUGUUUUAAACUGUUAAGUAAAUAUUUUAACGAAUGUUUUAAAACGUUGUAAACGAACGUGCUGCUCAGUCUCGCACCAAGCUCCGCUGGAACCGGGUAAAUCAAACGAAGAACCAUAUUCCGAUUUGUUUUUAAAUAUUUUGGGGGGGGGUAUUUGAUAAUUUUAUCCCGGCGUACCAAGUGUACUCACCCCUCGUAAUUUCAAACAAAGCUAUUCAAAAUGGCAGCCCGGCAAUGUUAAACUUUUUAUCCAGAAAUAAUUAAACUAUGAACAAAUAUUCACGUAUGUAGAUAUUUUUUAAAAGCUUAAGUAUUUUAGAAAUAAAAGCUAACAAUCGUGGAAUUGGUUUAAUUGUUAAAACUUACCCUAAUUUUGUCCAAAUGCUCUGGAUUUUUAUUUUUGAAUAUGCUCAUUUUCAAACCACUUUUUAAAGUAGCAUCUAAAAAACCUAACAUUUUAAGUCAACUGCACGUUUUUUGAGGGAAGAGAUUUUACCAUGAGCUUGGCAAAGUCUUUGUAAGAAUGAACAGUCCAGAGAUCACUGCCCUGGUGAGCGUCAGACUGAGAAAGUCCCCAGUGGUAAUUCCCAGCCAAAGCUGAUUUAACGUCAAGAUUUACAUACAUACAUACCAAAAAAAAAAAAAAAAAA